UACAGAGGGCGCGAGCGUUGUCCGGAAUCACUGGGCGUAAAGGGCGCGUAGGUGGCCACCAUAAGGCCGCGGUGAAAGUUCGGGGCUCAACCCUGAAUCGGCCGCGGCGACUGUGGGGCUAGGGCACCGUAGAGGCAGAUGGAAUUCCGGGUGUAGCGGUGGAAUGCGUAGAGAUCCGGAAGAACACCAGUGGCGAAGGCGACUUACUGGACACAUAUUGACGUUGAGGUGCGAAAGCGUGGGGAGCAAACAGG
rnacentral:rRNA from 1 species